AUAUAUAUAUAUAUAUAUAUAUAUAUAUGUAUAUAUACUAUAAUGCCAAGGGAAAUUACUUGUCCUUUGCCUCAGACUUAUAUUGAUAAUGGUUCGUUGAACAUACCUCGUGGUUUGGAUUUGGCUGAUCCUACAUUUGGUGUCCCAGGUAAAAUAGAUCUGCUACUUGCAGCUGAUAUUUAUUUUGAUAUAAUCGAUGGUGGUAUUUUAAAAUUAGGCGAUGGGUUGCCAAUUCUCCAAAAUACAUUAUUUGGAUGGGUAAUACGUGGGAGCAUUUCUAAAAAUUCAAACAACAUUUGUUUAAAUGUUAUGGUUUCCUUAUUUUCACAAGGUCCAGAUCUAGAUGUAUUGAUCCCACAAUUCUGGAGGUUGGAAGAGGUCGCGGGUAAAAGACAUAUGUCCCCUGAGGAUAAGGCAUGUGAGAAUAUUUAUUUCACAACUACUAAAAGGUUAGAGUCUGGUGUUUUCGAGGUUAGGUUACCUAUUAAAGCUGAAUUUACUGCUCUCUCAUUGGGUGACUCUCUGCCUAUGGCUACACAAAGGUUUUUGUCCUUGGAGAAGAAAUUCCAGAAGGAUCCAAAUUUAAAAAGGGAAUACAUUGCUUUCAUUCAGGAAUAUUUAGAAAUGGGUCACGCAAAGGAUAUUAGUGAUGAUGCUAGGCUUUUGGAAAAACAUAGGUAUUAUUUUCCUCAUCAUUGUGUAGUUCGAGAGGACAAGUUAGCUACAAAAUAUAGAGUAGUAUUUAAUGGGUCAAUGAAAACUAAUUCCGGGUUAAGUUUAAAUGACAUCUUGUUAAAGGGAAGCAGGGUGCAACCUGAUUUAUUUGAUAUUGUUGCCAGAUUUCGAACAUUUAAACACGUUCUAUCAAGUGACAUUCAAAAAAUGUUUAGGUGUGUGAAAGUUCAUCCGAAAGACAAACUUUUACAAAAUAUUGUUUGGAGAGACGAUCCAUCACUUCCCAUACGUCGUUUGGAGCUACAGACAGUUACUUACGGAACCAAGUGCAGUUCAUUUCUAGCAACUCGCUCAUUAGUGGAAUUAGCUAAACAAAGUAAAGGAUUAUAUCCAUUGGCUGCAGAGAAUUUGUUGGAACAGACAUACGUUGACGACAUAUUAGGAGGAGCGAAUACAUUAGAGCUUUUAUUUAAACUUCAAAAUGAGCUGAACACACUAUUAAAGUCAGCAGGAUUCUUAUUGUAUAAAUGGAACUCAAAUAACGAGUUUUUAGUCAAAUUUAAAGCAGAAGAUUCCUCUAAAGUGUUAGGUGUUUUAUGGGACCCAGUUUCGGAUCCAUUUCGGGUAUCAGUACCAAGUAUCAAAAGGAUAAAUUUACCAAACGUGAAGUUUUGGCCCUUAUAGGACAGAUAUUUGAUCCAAUGGGAUUUGUGGGUGUUGUAGUAAUCGUAGCUAAAAUCUUUAUGCAGAAACUGUGGGUUCAAAGACUUCAAUGGGAUGACAUAUUACCGCCAGAUUUAUUAAUCGAAUGGUUGAAUUUUUAUAAGCAAUUGCCACGGUUAGAAGCGUUAGGCAUAAAGCGAUGGAUAUUUGAAUCUGGGGAAGUAAGUACUAUAGAAUUAAUAGGGUUUGCGGAUGCAAGCAUGGUGGCCUAUGGCGCUUGCUUGUACGUUAGGGUCUUAUACGAUGAUAAUAGAGUUUCUUGCAGUCUAGUUUGUUCAAAAUCAAGGGUCGCACCCCUCAAAACAGUUUCUCUGCCUAGGCUGGAACUUUGUGGAUUAUUGCUUUUGGCCUGGAUGUAUGUUUAAAUCAUGUAUGAAGUUUAAGUUUAAUAAGGUCAUUCUGUAUAGCGACUCGAAAAUUGUGCUUGCUUGGAUGCAAUCAUCUCCAUUACGUUGGGCGACAUUUGUCGCCAACAGGGUAUCGGAAAUUCAGGAUUUAACUUUGGAUGCUGAGCUAAGACAUAUCUCAUCAGAUUUAAAUCCAGCAGACUACAUAUCUCGUGGGAUCGGACCUGAGGUCUUGUUGAAAUGUAAGGUUUGGUUUCAUGGUCCAGACUUUUUGGCAGAUCCAAGUUUUUUGCAUCCAGAACAAAUAAAUUUAGACAUAUUCGCAUUGCCUGAGGAAAGGCAGGUUUCUCAUUUUCAGGCAACAACUGUUAAUGAAGGAAUAUUGUCAAGGUUCUCUUCUUAUAAUAGAAUGUUACGAUGUAUAGCUUAUAUUCUAGUGGUUUGUUAAGAGUAGGAGGACGGUUAGAAAAUGCUCCUCUAUCAUUCAAUGCUAAACACCCAGUUAUUCUUCCUAGUAAAUCACAUGUUACUGAUGUAAUAAUUGAAAGUGAGCAUUUAAGGUUAGGUCAUGCUGGUCCUAGAGCAGUUCUCAAUAGCUUACGGCAACGUGUUUGGCUUAUAAAAUCUUUGAGGCGAAUAAAAUCUAUUUUAAUUAAGUGUGUGAAAUGCCACAAGUUUAAGACGGUUUGGUCAAAGCAACUUAUGGGAAGUUUGCCUGUUGAGAGAACACAACUAAUUCGUGCAUUCUUGCAUACAGGUCUAGAUUUUGGAGGACCAAUAAUGAUAAAGGAGUCAAGGUUGCGCAAAGCACGUGUAACUAAGGCAUAUAUUGCACCCUUUGUGUGUAUGGCAACAAAGGCUAUUCAUAUAGAAUUGGUUACGAGUUUAGGGACCGAGGACUUCAUUCUUGCAUUAAAAAGAUUUGUGGCUCGUCGUGGGAAUCCUAUUUCAAUCAGUAGUGACAAUGCUACUAAUUUCAAGGGAGCAAACAAUUCUUUGAACGAAGUUUAUAAAUUUUUCAAAGAGCACGUUUGUGAAAUUCAAGACUUUUUAUCUACUAGGGAGAUUGAAUGGAAGUUCAUCCCUCCUAACAGUCCACACUGGGGUGGUCUGUGGGAGGCUGGAAUUAAAAGCACCAAGUACCACUUAAAAAGGGUAACUGGGAAAUCGAUCUUAUCAUAUGAAUGUUUAUACACUGGAUUGACACAAAUUGAAGCAAUUCUCAAUUCAAGACCGUUACAGCCAAUGUCGGACUCAAUUUCCGAUUUAACAUGUUUGACACCAGGACAUUUUUUGAUAGGGCAACAGUUAACUUCAUUUCCAGAAAAAGAUGUGUCUAAAUUAUAAGUUAAUCGUUUGAAUAUUUGGCAACACUGUUCUAAAUUGCGACAAGAUUUUUGGAAACUAUGGUCGACAGACUACUUAAACUUACUUCAACAUCGUCCGAAAUGGAAGGUUUUAGAAUCCAAUUUGCAGAUUGGUGAUUUAGUAAUUGUAAGAGAGGAUAACGUGCCUCCUCUAGAGUGGUAUCUCGCAAGAAUUUUGGAUGUAAUGCCUGGUCGUGACAAUAGGGUUCGUGUGGUGAAGAUUAAGACGAGUAAUGGAAUAUUUACGAGACCUAUAACAAAAUUAAGUCCAUUGCCUUUACAGUUGGGUGGUUCUGUUGUUGAGGACGAGUCCUCAAAGGGGGGAGAAUGUUAGAGUUGCAAAACAUAUUUGUUUAACGCCGGUCCUGAUGGAUUACGCCGAAUGCAUCACGCCGUCUACGUGACUUUCCCACCACCUUAAUACCAAGAAAUUACACAAGACCGCGACACUACCCAUUCGUUUUAUUGAAUGCGCGCGUUUUCUCUUCUUAGUCGACAAUAAGCAUUAGGGAGAGCGUUUAGCGCUCUAAAUAUAAUACAGUCCACUUUAUUUUACGUAGUUAGUAGUAAUAUUUUUUGGUUAAUAGCUUUAAUAAAGCUACACAAUUAUGAAAAACUA